ensembl:lncRNA novel transcript
CUGGACUUCUCCACACACUGCCUGAAUGUCCUCCCCACAUAGCUAGAGUGAAUGAACUAAAAAAGAGAGAGAACACACACAGCCCAGCCCCAGCAGACCACAGGAGGUUGGCCCCAGACUCAAUGAGUGCCUGCAGCAGCCGUACAGACACAGCAUCCUUGGCCACCUCAUGCCCAUCCCGGCCAUCUAGGAUCAGCACAACCCAGAUGAGGCCGCUGAAGGGCACCGGAUGCCCAGGAAUCACCACCUGGUACCAGAAGCGGUGCCAGCCAGCAGGUCCUAUGCCCAAACACUUGGUGAGGAACACAGAGCUGCCCAGCUUCAUUCGUUGGCACAGCAACUGCAGGGUAGCCCGAGCCCCUUGGGACCCUAACUUGUCCCUUGCCAAGGCCAACUGGCUGCCGUCUGGCUGUGGGGACCACAAGGAGGGACCCACAAGCUGCUGGCGAAGUCGCUGCUUCAGUUCUGGCUUGAGCCACUCCACAGCCACCUGCUCUCCACAGAGGUGUGGCUGCCCUUCCUCCAGGGCCUUUUUG